UGUCCUUAAAAUUAAACAAUUGUAUUUUUAAUUGUUCUUAUUUUAAACAAGAUUUAAAAUUCGUGGUCAUAUGUGUCACAAUUGAAAAAUCAAGGACUAAAGUAACACGAGUUCCUAACUAUAGGGACUGUUAGUGUAAUUUGCCCUUUUUAUAACAAAAAAAGUGCUAAAAUUUGAAAUAUAUAUCUAUAACAUAUAUAAAAAGAACGUAAGAGUGGUGUAACAUGGUGUAACGUUGGGCUUCUCAGCGUAGUUCUGUUGCUUCUUUGGUUUGUAAAGCUUUUCCUGCAGAAAUUUUCCACAAUGUUGUUUGCUUCAUUUCUAACUCUUUCGUCACAGAUUUUGGGUUGGGCACGUGGAUUCCUAGAACUUCUCAUUUGAGUUGGACAAAUGCUGAGGUGUCUUCACAGGGUGUAGCGGUGAAGCGGUGCUUUUUGUUUGCUUAUUUGGCUGAUCUCACCCUUGGUUGCCUUCACAUUUUUUUGCACUGGUGUGGAUUUCAAUGACUUCUACAAGCUUCCUCUGAUCGGUGUACCUCGAUUUUAUAAUCUUGGAGCACCUCUUUGUAGAAGAAUUGGUUGGGCAAUAUUUAAAUUUCGCACCACCAUCUUCUUACUCUACCUAUUGCCGAUAUUCCUUCUCAUUGUUUGUCUUUUACUAAGAUGUUCAUGCCUGAUUUAUAAAAAAUGAUCGAAAGGCGCCUCACAAGUGGGCAAGUCAAAGAGCUCAUCGAAGAGGCCCAUGACAAGCUCAAACUCAUCUCUAAGAUGUUUCGUAUGUAUAUUUCAAUAUUCUCUGUCUUCAUUUGCUUUCUCUUUGCUUUUGAAUGCAUCGGUAUCAUUACAAGCAGAACCAAUAUCGAAUAUUGGGCUUCAAAUUUUAUGUAAGUGUUCAAGAGAAUAGGAUUUGAAUCCUCUAAUUGUAGAUUAGGUUGUUCUUCGUGUCAAAGGGAAAAACAAUUUUAAAGUUCUGUAAAAAAAAAGUUAGUUAGAAGAUUUUUUUCAUAUGUAUCUCUUUCUACAAUUGUUGGAUUCUCGAUUUGUUUU